rnacentral:ncRNA from 1 species
CGCGACGCGGUAGCGCGGGACGUCAAAGAUCUAAGAACCGGGGAGAAAAACCUUCCCAACCCAACCCCACCCCGCCCCCGUCACUCGCACGGGUGAGCGUCCCCAACUCGACUGGAGUUGCGGCCGGUUGGCUGGCAUAUGCUCGCCACGCAACCCCAGACACGCGACGGCCCUCGGCCAGGACGGCAAUCCUGAACGAGGGCCUGACCAACGAGGAAGAAGACAGCUUCCUG